rnacentral:rRNA from 1 species
UACGUAGGGUGCAAGCGUUGUCCGGAAUUAUUGGGCGUAAAGAGCUCAUAGGCGGUUUGUCGCGUCUGCUGUGAAAACCCGAGGCUCAACCUCGGGCCUGCAGUGGGUACGGGCAGACUAGAGUGCGGUAGGGGAGACUGGAAUUCCUGGUGUAGCGGUGGAAUGCGCAGAUAUCAGGAGGAACACCGAUGGCGAAGGCAGGUCUCUGGGCCGCAACUGACACUGAGGAGCGAAAGCAUGGGGAGCGAACAGG